UACAGAGGGGGCAAGCGUUAUUCGGAAUUAUUGGGCGUAAAGGGCGCGUAGGCGGCCUUUCAAGUGACGGGUGAAAUCCCCCGGCUUAACCGGGGAACUGCCUGUCAGACUGGGAGGCUUGAGACCGGGAGAGGUGAGUGGAAUUCCCAGUGUAGCGGUGAAAUGCGUAGAUAUUGGGAAGAACACCGGUGGCGAAGGCGGCUACUCUGGACCGAGACUGACGCUGAGGCGCGAAAGCGUGGGGAGCAA
rnacentral:rRNA from 1 species